UACGUAGGGGGCGAGCGUUGUCCGGAAUUACUGGGCGUAAAGAGAGCGUAGGCGGCACUACAAGUCUCAUGUGAAAUACCCGGGCUUAACUUGGGGGUUGCAUGGGAAACUGUGGAGCUUGAGUACAGGAGAGGCAAGCGGAAUUCCUAGUGUAGCGGUGAAAUGCAUAGAUAUUAGGAGGAACACCAGUGGCGAAGGCGGCUUGCUGGACUGAAACUGACGCUGAGGCUCGAAAGCGUGGGGAGCAAACAGG
rnacentral:rRNA from 1 species